GAUGAACGCUGGCGGCGUGCUUAACACAUGCAAGUCGAACGGUGAACGAGGGAGCUUGCUCCCUCCGGAUCAGUGGCGAACGGGUGAGUAACACGUGAGCAAUCUGCCCUGGACUCUGGGAUAAGCGUUGGAAACGACGUCUAAUACCGGAUACGAGGCGUGGGGGCAUCCCCAACGCCUGGAAAGAACUUCGGUCCAGGAUGAGCUCGCGGCCUAUCAGGUAGUUGGUGAGGUAAUGGCUCACCAAGCCUACGACGGGUAGCCGGCCUGAGAGGGUGACCGGCCAGACUGGGACUGAGACACGGCCCAGACUCCUACGGGAGGAAGCAGUGGGGAAUAUUGCACAAUGGGCGAAAGCCUGAUGCAGCAACGCCGCGUGAGGGACGACGGCCUUCGGGUUGUAAACCUCUUUUAGCAGGGAAGAAGCGAAAGUGACGGUACCUGCAGAAAAAGCACCGGCUAACUACGUGCCAGCCGCCGCGGUAAAAC
rnacentral:rRNA from 1 species